rnacentral:rRNA from 1 species
GCCACCGAAAGGUGGUCUAAUACCUUAUAGUAUCCAUCUCGUAUGGAUUAAAGCUUUAUGCGCUUUGGGAGGGGCCUGCGUUUGAUUAGCUAGUUGUGAGGUAAAAAGCUCACCAAGGCGACGAUCAAUAGCUGGUUUGAGAGGAUGACCAGCCACACUGGGACUGAGAUACGGCCCAGACUCCUACGGGAGGCAGCAGUAAGGAAUCUUCCACAAUGGGGCAACCCUGAUGGAGCAAUACCGCGUGCAGGAUGAAGCGUUUCGGCGUGUAAACUGCUUUUAUCACCGAAGAUUAUGACUGUAGGUGAAGAAUAAGGACCGGCUAACUACGUG